CAGGAAGCAGGUGAACAUUUUGUCCUCAAAGUCGAUGUUAGAAGCAGGAAAAACGGGAUCGAUCAAAAGUGGUCCACGGAAGGAACAGUGGUAAUCCAGUGACGGGUCAUGGACGACCAAGGUUCAUGGAUGCACAUGAGGAGUGAAGGCUCGUCUAGUGGUGGUGUUUCCUCGGAGUAUGUCCUACUCAUCUCAUCCUCUUCUUCCGCAGAUGGUCUUCAAAUUAUUUCCAGCUUUCAUGUUAUUUUUGGUAAUUUCCCAUUAAAAUCAGAAACUGUUACAUAGACACAGACUGUGCCCAAAGAUGAAGAGUCUGCAGAGACGCAUGCACAGAGUUGUGCAAAGACGCAAUUCAAAAGCAGAUCAAUAAAAAUAAAUUACUUCAAGCCGACUUUCUGCUAAGCUUUGUCAGCAGCCUGAGUGAACAGAUGUGAUUUCAAAGGACAGACAGCUAUUGAAUUCAUCCCAUAUUCUUUAGAUAAUAGCACAGUGCUUAUAAUGAGAUCUGAAUGGAGCCCAUGCACUUGAAACAGACAGAAAGGAGGACUCAGAUGUGCCACAGUAAAUUGUUGUAUUUAAUACAUGAAAGUAAUAUUAUUUACAACUAUUAUUCUAUUAUUGUUUAAAUCAGCUAUAGCCUUCACUACAUUAAUUAUAUUAAGCAGUAAAAAAUGCCAAUAAUGCUCAAAGGAAACAAAAAGGUUAAAGGUAAAAAAGAAAAAAGAAAAUCAUUAAAAAAUCCAGAAAUUGGAAGAAGAAAAUCAAAAAGCACCGGAAGGUGAGAAUGUCAUGUUUUUUACUGUUUAACAGAUGCUGUUAGAUACUUCUGCCUCGUCAGAGGAGGAAGACAUGAAGAUACUGUAAAAAUAAAAUGAUAAAGAGUGAAACAAAAUAGAGGUAACUACAUAUUUUGAGGAUGUCCUGUCAGGUUAAAGAAAAAGCAGACCUACUUCAGAUUAGGCAAACAUGCCUACUUGGCUCUCCUGAGUCAAACCAUGAUCUCAAGUCAUGCCAGCAGCAACAAGUGGCACUCUAACACUGACGGUUUAACACUCCUGCACUGCCAGUACUAUAAUGUGUUUAUAAUAAAGGUCCUCAGUUACAAAGUCAGGGUUUAUAAGAACGUAAUAAAGGCUGUUUAACCAUAACAAAUAUGACAAAGUUACUGUUAGCUCAGUAAAGACAAGAAUACAAAAGGAUUAUUCUGGAGAACAAGCCCAUAAAUCCACUGUGGUCUGUAAUGGGAUGAAGGCCGUGAGAAGUUCAAAGGUUUUCUAAAGCCUUGUAGACAAAAGGGUGAUAUAAAGUCUUAGAGAACUGUUAAGAAGCAAUAGCCACUCCAACCCCUUCUGAUAGUUAAGGAAAUUAUAUUUUCUCACUGAGAUUCUCAGCAAACAAAU